GAACUGGUUCAACUGGAAACUCACCCCAUCUUAGCAACAGGUUAAGUCUAAAGGCAAAAAAAUAGUUAGGAGAUCCUCUUUUCUCAGACCCCAACAUUUGUGCUGGGACGGUAAGGUAAAGGGCCGUCAUGAAACCCUAACAUAGCCAUUACCAUGCUUGGGAAGAAGCAGGGGUGAGGGGAGUGGCUGGAUAUAGACGGUAUUGAAGGCAUGGGACGCCUAGGUCGUGCCAGUACAGGUCAUUGUGCCGACAGUGUCCACAGGUGAGGGCUCGGGCCAAGGAAUUUAAUCCAGCGCUCUCACUGGAUUCCAAGACCUGGAUUCAAGGGGUUGAAGCCCCAGAGUAGGGUGGGAUGGGGUUCGUUCAAUUGGAAAGUGACUUAAAAUCUUCUCCAUCUCCCUAAGACACAUAAAAUAGGUAAAAUUCCCUUAUAAAGGGUUCAACAUAUUGUGACAACUUGUAUUUCUGUUAAUUUUCAUCCCUGUAUCACAGUGUUUGUCUUUUUCCAAACCUGUGUCUCAAAUUUCCCAUCAGAAACAUUUCUCAGAUUUGGACAGAGUGGAGACACCUGGGCUUGGCACGUUUGUGCACCAAAAGCUCUCUGCUAGGAUCAGAGCAGAGCCAAACUGGGCAGCAGACUCUGGCAAAGGGCGGGUGUGCGAUGAAUAUGGCCCCUUCCAUCCCCUCACGAGGGAUCACACGAGAGGACCUGAGUAAGGUGACCCCACCCAAGGUCACUCUGUUUGAGCCAUCAGAAGCAGAGAUCAGCAAGAAACAAAAGGCCACCCUCGUGUGCCUGGCCACAGACUUCUACCCAGACCACGUGGAGCUGAGCUGGUGGGUGAACGGGAAGGAGGUGCACAGUGGGGUCAGCACGGACCCUCAGCCCUCCAAGGAGCAGAGCACCCUCGAGGACUCCAAGUACUUCCUGAGCAGUCGCCUGAGGGUCUCUGCCACCUUCUGGCUCAACCCUCGCAACCACUUCCGCUGCCAAGUGCGGUUCUAUGGACUCUCAGAGGAAGACCAGUGGACCGAGGAGAGGGACAAACCCAUCACCCAGAACAUCAGUGCUGACACCUGGGGCAAAGCAGACUGUGGCAUCACCUCAGCGUCCUAUCAGCAAGGGGUGCUGUCCGCCACCCUCCUGUACGAGAUCCUGCUGGGGAAGGCCACCGUGUAUGCUGUGCUGGUCAGCACCCUGGUGCUGUUAGCCAAGGUCAAGAGAAAGGAUUCCUAAAGCCAUCUCUGGAGGCCCAGCUAGGAACUUUCAACCCAAUAAGGCACCGCGCGGAUUCUUCUUUUUUUUGCCAAUGCUUCAAAGGACGGUUCCCAUCGCUCUCCUCUCUUCAACAUCUAUCCUGAGCACUUUUGCUUAAAUCUCCCUAUCCCAGAGGAAUCCUAGAGUGCCUAGAUGAUUGAACCAAUAAAAAUGUCCUGUUCUGA